UCUUUUAUUCCUUCGGUAAUAAAAAACACCAUUUAUAUUUAGAGAAAGUAAGAGCUUAAAAGAACCAAAGACAACAAUACACAAAUAACUGUAACAAUGGUCGGAGAUACAUGCUGAGUUUUUGCACAUCAGAGGCAUGCAAGAGCUUCAGAGGCAUGCUUAGAUUCAAUCUUCAGACUCAGUUUUAGAGUCAUUCUUCAGACCUAGUUAUCAGACCCAAAAAUCAAACCUAGAAAUUAGAGACAAUCUUCGUAACCUUUAGAGGCAUGUUACUUUCAGAGGGAUAUGUUCAGAGGUAGACGCGUAUACUUUUUGUUCCUCUGAUCUCAUCCUUUGAUCACUUCUUCUAGUGACUUCCUCUGUGCACUUCCUCUAAUGACUUUUCUCUAAUAACAAAAGAGUAAUUAUAUGGUAAAGAUAAACAACAAACAAAUUUAUUGUAUAAGAGAAAAAAUUCCUUGACGUUUUCUAUUUGUUUUUUGUUACCGAUACUGCCUCCGAUUUCUUCCUCUUCUCCUUCUGUAAAAGUGUUUUUUUUAAGAAGAGUUAAUUUGAUCCCUUUUUGAAAAUAAAUAAAAUUGUAUUUAUAGAGUUUUUU